rnacentral:rRNA from 1 species
AUUGAACGCUGGCGGCAGGCCUAACACAUGCAAGUCGAACGAGUGGCGGACGGGUGAGUAAUGUCUGGGAAACUGCCUGAUGGAGGGGGAUAACUACUGGAAACGGUAGCUAAUACAGCCUACCAUCAGAUGUGCCCAGAUGGGAUUGGCUAGUAGGUGGGGGAACGGCUCACCUAGGCGACGAUCCCUAGCUGGUCUGAGAGGAUGACCAGCCACACUGGAACAGAGACACGGUCCAGACGCCUACGGGAGGCAGCAGUGGGGAAUAUUGCACAAUGGGCGCAAGCCGGAGGCAGCCAUGCCGCGGGUAUGAAGAAGGCCUUCGGGUUGUAAAGUACUUUCAGCGGGGAGGCGUUACCCGCAGAAGAAGCACCGGCUAACUCCGUGCCAGCAGCCGCGGUAAUAC